rnacentral:rRNA from 1 species
GUGUCAGCCGCCGCGGUAAUACGAAGGGGGCUAGCGUUGCUCGGAAUCACUGGGUUUAAAGGGUCCGUAGGCGGGCCUGUAAGUCAGGGGUGAAAGUUUGUGGCUCAACCAUAAAAUUGCCUUUGAUACUGCAGGUCUUGAGUCAUGGUGGGGUUGCCGGAACAUGUGGUGUAGCGGUGAAAUGCAUAGAUAUCACAUAGAACACCGAUCGCGAAGGCAGGUGACCAACCAUGUACUGACGCUGAUGGACGAAAGCGUGGGUAGCGAACGGGAUUAGAUACCCCGGUAGUCCACGCCGUAAACGAUGGAUACUAGCUGUGGGGACUUCGGUCUCCGUGGCCAAGCGGAAGUGAUGAGUAUCCCACCUGGGGAGUACGUUCGCAAGAAUGAAACUCAAAUGAAUUGACGGGG